rnacentral:rRNA from 1 species
AGCGAACGCUGGCGGCAGGCCUAACACAUGCAAGUCGAACGAACCUUUCGGGGUUAGUGGCGGACGGGUGAGUAACACGUGGGAACGUGCCUUUAGGUUCGGAAUAACUCAGGGAAACUUGUGCUAAUACCGAAUGUGCCCUUCGGGGGAAAGAUUUAUCGCCUUUAGAGCGGCCCGCGUCUGAUUAGCUAGUUGGUUGAGGUAAUGGCUCACCAAGGCGACGAUCAGUAGCUGGUCUGAGAGGAUGAUCAGCCACAUUGGGACUGAGACACGGCCCAAACUCCUACGGGAGGCAGCAGUGGGGAAUCUUGCGCAAUGGGCGAAAGCCUGACGCAGCCAUGCCGCGUGAAUGAUGAAGGUCUUAGGAUUGUAAAAUUCUUUCACCGGGGACGAUAAUGACGGUACCCGAAGAAGAAGCCCCGGCUAACUUCGU